rnacentral:rRNA from 1 species
AAAUUGAAGAGUUUGAUCAUGGCUCAGGUUGAACGCUGGCGGCAGGCCUAACACAUGCAAGUCGAACGGUAACAGGAAGUAGCUUGCUGCUUUGCUGACGAGUGGCGGACGGGUGAGUAAUGUCUGGGAAACUGCCCGAUGGAGGGGGAUAACUACUGGAAACGGUAGCUAAUACCGCAUAACGUCGCAAGACCAAAGAGGGGGACCUUCGGGCCUCUUGCCAUCGGAUGUGCCCAGAUGGGAUUAGCUAGUAGGUGGGGUAA